rnacentral:rRNA from 1 species
UACGUAGGGGGCAAGCGUUGUCCGGAAUCAUUGGGCGUAAAGCGCGCGUAGGCGGCCCUGUAAGUCCGCUGUAAAAGUCAAAGGCUCAACCUUUGAAAGCCGGUGGAUACUGCAGGGCUAGAGUACAGAAGGGGCAACUGGAAUUCUCGGUGUAGCGGUGAAAUGCGUAGAUAUCGAGAGGAACACCUGCGGCGAAGGCGGGUUGCUGGGCUGAUACUGACGCUGAGGCGCGAAAGCCAGGGGAGCGAACGGG